rnacentral:rRNA from 1 species
GAUGAACGCUGGCGGCGUGCCUAAUACAUGCAAGUCGAGCGAACGGACGAGAAGCUUGCUUUUCUGUUGUUAGCGGCGGACGGGUGAGUAACACGUGGAUACCCUCCCUAUAAGACUGGUAUCACUUCGGGAAACCGGCGCUAAUACCGGAUAAUAUUUUGAACCGCAUGGUUCAAAAGUGAAAGACGGUCUUGCUGUCACUUAUAGAUGGAUCCGCGCUGCAUUAGCUAGUUGGUAAGGUAACGGCUUACCAAGGCAACGAUGCAUAGCCGACCUGAGAGGGUGAUAGGCCACACGAGAACUGAGACAGCGUCAAGACUCCUAAGGGAGGCAGCAGUAGGGAAUCGUCCGCAAUGGGCGAAAGCCUGACGGAGCAACGCCGCGUGAGUGAUGAAGGUCUUCGGAUCGUAAAACUCUGUUAUUAGGGAAGAACAGAUGUGUAAGUAACUGUGCACAUAGUGACGGUACCUAAUAAGAAAGCCACGGCUAACUACGUG